CGCACGGGUGCGUAACGCGUAUACAAUCUACCUUUUACAGAGAGAUACCCCAGAGAAAUUUGGAAUAAUACCUCAUAAUAUUAUUGCUCGGCAUCGAGUGACAAUUAAAGUUUCGGCGGUAAAAGAUGAGUAUGCGUCCUAUUAGCUAGUUGGUAAGGUAACGGCUUACCAAGGCUACGAUAGGUAGGGGUCCUGAGAGGAAGAUCCCCCACACUGGUACUGAGACACGGACCAGACUCCUACGGGAGGCAGCAGUGAGGAAUAUUGGUCAAUGGGCGCAAGCCUGAACCAGCCAUCCCGCGUGCAGGAUGACGGCCCUAUGGGUUGUAAACUGCUUUUAUACACCAAGAAAAAUCUCCACGUGUGGGGACAUUGGGUUUAAAGGGUGCGUAGGCGGCUUUUUAAGUCAGUGGUGAAAUCUUGCCGCUUAACGGUAAAAUUGCCAUUGAUACUGAUAAGCUUGAGUACAAUUGAGGUAAGCGGAAUGUGUAGUGUAGCGGUGAAAUGCUUAGAUAUUACACAGAACACCGAUUGCGAAGGCAGCUUACUAAACUGUUACUGACGCUGAUGCACGAAAGCGUGGGGAGCGAACAGGAUUAGAUACCCUGGUAGUCCACGCCGUAAACGAUGAUCACUCGCUGUAUGCGAUACACAGUAUGCGGCCAAGCGAAAGCAUUAAGUGAUCCACCUGGGGAGUACGAUCGCAAGGUUGAAACUCAAAGGAAUUGACGGGGGCCCGCACAAGCGGAGGAACAUGUGGUUUAAUUCGAUGAUACGCGAGGAACCUUACCUGGGCUUAAAUGGGGAACGACAGCUGCCGAAAGGUGGCCUUCUUCGGACGUUCGAUGAUACGCGAGGAACCUUACCUGGGCUUAAAUGGGGAACGACAGCUGCCGAAAGGUGGCCUUCUUCGGACGUUCUUCAAGGUGCUGCAUGGUUGUCGUCAGCUCGUGCCGUGAGGUGUCGGGUUAAGUCCCAUAACGAGCGCAACCCUUAUCGUUAGUUGCCAGCGGGUCAUGCCGGGGACUCUAGCGAGACUGCCACCGUAAGGUGUGAGGAAGGUGGGGAUGACGUCAAAUCAGCACGGCCCUUAUGUCCAGGGCUACACACGUGUUACAAUGGCCAAUACAAAGGGCAGCUACCGGGUGACCGGAUGCUAAUCUCUAAAGUUGGUCUCAGUUCGGAUCGAAGUCUG
rnacentral:rRNA from 1 species